rnacentral:rRNA from 1 species
AUAAUAAUUAGUCUUUUAAUUGAAGGCUGGAAUGAAUGAUUGAACGAGAUAUAUUCUGUCUCAAUAAUAUUAAUAUUUUAAUUUAAUUUUUAAGUAAAAAAGCUUAAAUUUUAUUAGAGGACGAGAAGACCCUAUAGAACUUUAUAAUAAAUUUUUAAUAGUAUUUAAUUUUAUUUUAUUGAUAAUUUAUUAUUUUAUUGGGGCGAUAGGAAAAUUUAAUAAACUUUUUUAAAUGAAUUACAAUAAUAAUUGAAUUUUUGAUCCUAUAUUAUAGAUUAUUAGAUUAAGUUACCUUAGGGAUAACAGCGUUAUUUUUUUUUAGAGUUCUUAUUGACAAAAAAGAUUGC